CACGUAGGGGGCGAGCGUUGUCCGGAUUUAUUGGGCGUAAAGAGCUCGUAGGCGGCUCAGUAAGUCGGGUGUGAAAACUCCAGGCUCAACCUGGAGACGCCACCUGAUACUGCUGUGGCUAGAGUCCGGUGGGGGAGCAUGGAAUUCCUGGUGUAGCGGUGAAAUGCGCAGAUAUCAGGAGGAACACCAGUGGCGAAGGCGGUGCUCUGGGCCGGAACUGACGCUGAGGAGCGAAAGCGUGGGGAGCGAACAGG
rnacentral:rRNA from 1 species